rnacentral:tRNA from 1 species
AAAGGGAGACCUAAUUCGGGUAUAAGACGAAAAAAAAGUAGUCCCAACCAAGAAUCAAUCCCAAAAGGUCGGAGCGAGGCGAAAUUGGCUUUCAAACUAGGUUCUGGGUUCACAGAAGACCUGAAUCAGGAACAAGGGCUAUUAGCUCAGGUGGUUAGAGCGCACCCCUGAUAAGGGUGAGGUCCCUGGUUCGAGUCCAGGAUGGCCCACCUGCACAGGUGGUAAAAACAAGAGAAGCGAGGAAUCAGCACCUUAUCUUACUUACAUAGUAAGAGAGAAUGCUGGCUCUGAGUACAGAGUCCAGAGGAACCUUGAAAACUGCAUAGAGCUAGGUGAAAAAGCCAAAAAAGAAGACCGCAAG